CCUACGGGAGGCAGCAGUGGGGAAUAUUGCACAAUGGGCGCAAGCCUGAUGCAGCCAUGCCGCGUGUGUGAAGAAGGCCUUCGGGUUGUAAAGCACUUUCAGCGGGGAGGAAGGCGGUGAGGUUAAUAACCUCAUCGAUUGACGUUACCCGCAGAAGAAGCACCGGCUAACUCCAUGCCAGCAGCCGCGGUAAUACGGAGGGUGCAAGCGUUAAUCGGAAUUACUGGGCGUAAAGCGCACGCAGGCGGUCUGUCAAGUCGGAUGUGAAAUCCCCGGGCUCAACCUGGGAACUGCAUUCGAAACUGGCAGGCUAGAGUCUUGUAGAGGGGGGUAGAAUUCCAGGUGUAGCGGUGAAAUGCGUAGAGAUCUGGAGGAAUACCGGUGGCGAAGGCGGCCCCCUGGACAAAGACUGACGCUCAGGUGCGAAAGCGUGGGGAGCAAACAGGAUUAGUACCCUUGUAGUC
rnacentral:rRNA from 1 species